UUUUCAGUUUAUCUUUUACAAGUCAUUUUCUAAUUUCACAGAGUCUAUUUUCUAAUCAGUGGUAAAUAGUCAUUCAACGUUCUCCAGAGCAUCAGGUGACUAUUACGCAGGCUAAUCGUUGAUACUCGGGCUUGACGUUAGAAGGACAUGGCAUCAUCUUUUGGCCUUAUUUUCAAGUUCUGGAUAGUUUUUCUUAAUAUUUUUCUCUAAUUGAAAUGAUUUCAACUGAUAUUAUUUCUGUAUGACUUAAUAAUGAACUUCUAAGAAGGUCACAUAAAGGCCUCUUCUAAAACACACUCAUCGUUCCUUUUUUCCUCUGUAGGAACUCAUUAUACAAUGACAGAUGGAGGCAGCAUUAACAGUUCUGCACAUUUACUGGAUUUUUGGAUCAACCAGUUCCAGAUGUUGGUACAUAUCAUGAUUUCCAUACUAUUGACUGGGUGAGAGAAAAAUGUACAGACAGAGAAAGGCAUAGACGGGGCAUUGGCCGGAUUAAUAGACAUUGCUGCUGACUGGAUGACCGGCCUGAAGGUGGGCAUUUGCCUUACUGUGUUGUGGUACAACCUCGAACAGUGCUGCUGGGGAUCUAAUGAAACAACAUUUGAAGAGGGGGAUAAAUGUCCAUAGUGGAAAACAUGGGCAGAAUUAAUCACAGGGUCCUGGUUCUUAAAUCAUGAACUGUAUAACGUACAUCUUCUGGGCUUUCAGUUUUGCCUCUCUUGCAGUUUCCCUGGUAAAGGUAUUUGCUACAUAUGCCUGUGGCUCUGGAAUUCCAGGGGUAAGCCAAGUCAUAUUUAGUGUCAUUAAACAUUAUUAUGGUGCGUAUCUUUUUACCCUUAGUGACAAAAAAGUAGGCUUUGUUGGAGGGAGGGGCUGGUUUGUUCAUAAUAUGAAAAAAGGCCACUGUGGCUGAUUGUAGACAUUGUUGAAAAACAUUGUUCCCCAUUGUCAUUUAAUCUUUUACUAUGGAGGUUGAUUUUUUUUUUUCUCUCACCACUAAUUUAACACAUGGCUAGGCAAAUUUUCAGAAGAUUUAGUUAAACAUCAAGAGCCUGGAAAAAGUAUCCUGUGACCUAGUGUUCUUUGAUGGAUUAGUUGAUAUUUUGCUGUUAUGACCCUGAUUUUAAUACAUUCAUUCUCUUUUUGUAAUUACUUUUUGAUUAGAUAAGUUAAUUAUUCUUGAAUUUGGAUAUUUUAUGCUUUGAGAAAGUAGUUGGUCACAGUGGGUCAAUAGUACAAACUUUUGGGUUUUAUUUUUCAUUAAAAUAAAGUUAUAUAUAGAUUGAUUGAACUUGAUUUGAACUUACUUCUUUUCUCCCUCUUUUAUUUUUCUGUAUUUAAAUAAGUUACCAACUUUUUCCUAAUGCAUUUCUUUUUAAAAUGGAAUCGUAGUGAUCUUUAAGGUUGUAUUAAGAAUAUCUUUCAUAAAAAGCAAUAUCAUGCAUUAUAUAACAGUUUUCAUUCAUCUUUCUUGAAAUAUAAAACACGAUUCCGCAUAAUUACAGUACUCAGAGAAAACAUAAUAUUCUUAUUUCUGACACAAUGUCCAAAAUAUAUUUAAAACGUUAUGCUUAUUUUUACAACAGAAAUAUUCAAAUUUGCCUCUUUCUUGGUUAUGUAAGUAAAUCCUUAUAAUUAAGAUCUGUAUUCAUUUUAACAUGGCCUGACAUUUUGAUUUUGUUCCUGAGAUUCAGUUGCCCUCUCUCCUUUCUUGGGUAGAGAAUUAGAUCAUGAUAUCAACUUAUUAUAUGUAGCAUAAUAGGUAAAAUUUUUGAAAAACUAACCAUACAUUUUUCUAUAGGUUGCUAAAAUUUGCAAGGUCGUUUUUGUGUGUAAAACAAGAAAAUAACUUGGAUUUGUUACAUUCUUAUGCUUCUGAAAGGAAAUUAAGCUGCCUUAAUCUUUGCCUUGUACAUUAAAACUAUUUUGAGUGCAUUCAUUAUCAGAGGUUACUUGGGAAAGUAGACUUUAAUAAUUGAAACCAUCACAUCAGUCCUGGCUGUGGCAUCAGGCUUGAGUUUAGGAAAAGAAGGUCCCCUGGUCCAUGUUGUCUGUUGCUGCAGAAAUAGCUUUUCUCACGUCUUUCCAAAGUAUAGCACAAACAAAGCUAAAAAAAGGAAGGUAAGUGUCUUUUGUAGUUAAUUUGACUGAAAAAUAUCUAUUAUAUAGAGUUUAAGUAAAUAAUUUCUUUGUGUAAAAAUAACAAAUUCUGUACUCAGAUUAAAAAUUUUGAGAUGAAUUUGUGCUGUUUUGCUUUUCCUGAAUAAUCUAUAACACGUUUCUGGAACCCAUUCCCAGUGUUGCUGACUUAGUCUUAUAUUAUAGACAGCUGAUGUCCAUUGGGUUUUAGUUGCAUUUCACAAAGAUCUUUUAUGUGUAAAUUAAUUUUGAUUAUUUCUAAUUUAUGUUCUGGAAUGUAACAAUUGACCAUUUGAAGAAAUACUUUAGGUAGCUUUGAAUAUUUGCUGGAUUAAAGUAGUAAAAGGAAUACAGACUCUUGGCCAGGUGCAGUGGCUCAUGCUUAGAAUCCCAG